AGCUCCAAUAGCGUAUAUUAAUGUUGUUGUGGUUAAAAAGCUCGUAGUUGGAUCUCGGCAGGUGGAAGGCGGUUUGCUUGCUAGUAUUACUGCCCUAUAAUCUGUAGUUUUGCCAGAGGUUUUAGGGUGCUCUUAAUCGAGUGUCCUGAGAUGCUGGCAGGUUUACUUUGAAAAAAAUAGAAUGCUCAAAGCAGGCUGUUACGCCUGAAUAUUCGUGCAUGGAAUAAUAGAAUAUAAAGUCGUUUCUAUUUUGUUGGUUUUCGGAAAUCGACUUUAUGAUUAAUAGGGACAGUUGGGGGCAUUUGUGUUCAAAGGACAGAGGUGAAAUUCUUGGACCGUUUGAAGACAAACUACUGCGAAAGCAUUUGCCAAGAAUGUUUUCA
rnacentral:rRNA from 1 species